GUGUGUGUAGCUCAAUGGUAGGGUGUUUGCCUAGCAUAUGCAAGGCCCUGGGUUCCAUUCCCAGUACACCUG
rnacentral:tRNA from 1 species